rnacentral:rRNA from 1 species
UUCGGGGUACUCGAGUGGCGAACGGGUGAGUAACACGUGGGUGAUCUGCCCUGCACUUUGGGAUAAGCCUGGGAAACUGGGUCUAAUACCGAAUAGGACCACGCGCUUCAUGGUGUGUGGUGGAAAGCUUUUGCGGUGUGGGAUGGGCCCGCGGCCUAUCAGCUUGUUGGUGGGGUAAUGGCCUACCAAGGCGACGACGGGUAGCCGGCCUGAGAGGGUGACCGGCCACACUGGGACUGAGAUACGGCCCAGACUCCUACGGGAGGCAGCAGUGGGGAAUAUUGCACAAUGGGCGCAAGCCUGAUGCAGCGACGCCGCGUGAGGGAUGACGGCCUUCGGGUUGUAAACCUCUUUCAAUAGGGACGAAGCGCAAGUGACGGUACCUAUAGAAGAAGCACCGGCCAACUACGUGCCAGCAGCCGCGGUAAUACGUAGGGUGCGAGCGUUGUCCGGAAUUACUGGGCGUAAAGAGCUCGUAGGUGGUUUGUCGCGUUGUUCGUGAAAACUCACAGCUUAACUGUGGGCGUGCGGGCGAUACGGGCAGACUAGAGUACUGCAGGGGAGACUGGAAUUCCUGGUGUAGCGGUGGAAUGCGCAGAUAUCAGGAGGAACACCGGUGGCGAAGGCGGGUCUCUGGGCAGUAACUGACGCUGAGGAGCGAAAGCGUGGGGAGCGAACAGGAUUAGAUACCCUGGUAGUCCACGCCGUAAACGGUGGGUACUAGGUGUGGGUUCCUUCCUUGGGAUCCGUGCCGUAGCUAACGCAUUAAGUACCCCGCCUGGGGAGUACGGCCGCAAGGCUAAAACUCAAAGGAAUUGACGGGGGCCCGCACAAGCGGCGGAGCAUGUGGAUUAAUUCGAUGCAACGCGAAGAACCUUACCUGGGUUUGACAUGCACAGGACGCCGGCAGAGAUGUCGGUUCCCUUGUGGCCUGUGUGCAGGUGGUGCAUGGCUGUCGUCAGCUCGUGUCGUGAGAUGUUGGGUUAAGUCCCGCAACGAGCGCAACCCUUGUCCUAUGUUGCCAGCGGGUUAUGCCGGGGACUCGUAGGAGACUGCCGGGGUCAACUCGGAGGAAGGUGGGGAUGACGUCAAGUCAUCAUGCCCCUUAUGUCCAGGGCUUCACACAUGCUACAAUGGCCGGUACAAAGGGCUGCGAUGCCGUGAGGUGGAGCGAAUCCUUUCAAAGCCGGUCUCAGUUCGGAUCGGGGUCUGCAACUCGACCCCGUGAAGUCGGAGUCGCUAGUAAUCGCAGAUCAGCAACGCUGCGGUGAAUACGUUCCCGGGCCUUGUACACACCGCCCGUCACGUCAUGAAAGUCGGGAACACCCGAAGCCG